rnacentral:rRNA from 1 species
GACGUAGGGCGCGAGCGUUGUCCGGAAUUAUUGGGCGUAAAGAGCUCGUAGGCGGUUUGUCGCGUCUGCCGUGAAAGUCCGGGGCUCAACUCCGGAUCUGCGGUGGGUACGGGCAGGCUUGAGUUCGGUAGGGGAGACUGGAAUUCCUGGUGUAGCGGUGAAAUGCGCAGAUAUCAGGAGGAACACCGGUGGCGAAGGCGGGUCUCUGGGCAUGUCCUGACGCUGAGGAGCGAAAGUGUGGGGAGCGAACAGG